AUACGGAGGGUGCAAGCGUUAAUCGGAAUUACUGGGCGUAAAGCGUACGUAGGCGGUUAUUUAAGUCAGAUGUGAAAGCCCCGGGCUUAACUUGGGAACUGCAUUUGAAACUGGGUAACUAGAGUUUAGUAGAGGGGAGUGGAAUUUCAGGUGUAGCGGUGAAAUACGUAGAGAUCUGAAGGAACACCGGUGGCGAAGGCGGCUUCCUGGACAAUUACUGACGCUGAGACGCGAAAGCGUGGGGAGCAAACAGGAUUAGAAACCCCGGUAGUCC
rnacentral:rRNA from 1 species